UCUGGGAAAACAGGUGCAUUUUGAACUGGGGGCAACCAAAUACAGACCUGAACAAAACAGAGCCUGGAGAAGAUGCCUUCCAGACCCCCUGAGGGAGACAGAAUCUUUAAUGAAGGACCAGAGGAAGUUAUCCAUUGCAGAAGUUCUGAUUAAAGAUGAAGAAGAUAAAGUCAACUGUGUUUUCUGGUAAGCUGAACUCAAGUCCACAAAAGCAGUAAGAGGAAAAUUUACUUCCUAUUAUAAGAGGGAGACUCCCCACCGAAAUUCAAUUAACAACUGGAUGAAAAAAUUCAAGGAAACCGGCUCAUUUCACAACAAACUGACAUCUAUGAGAUGCCAAAACAGACUCUAGCUGAAGUUAGCUAGAAGUAUGUGUUGCACAAGAUGGUGGUGAUGCUGAAUUUUAAUAGCAUUUAAAAUUUUUAAAUAAUUAA